rnacentral:misc_RNA from 1 species
UGUGGGAGCGAGCUUGCUCGCGAUGACGGUGUCAGAUCCAGCAUCAUCGUUGGCUGAUGGUCCGCCAUCGCGAGCAAGCUCGCUCCCACA